AGCAGUGUGUGGCCUGGGACAGGAGUAGAUAAAAGGCAGCCAUGCUUAUGCAACUUGGUUAAGGGAAAAUAAAUCAAUUACCAGCCGAGGUAUUAGAUGAUCACUCUUCCAUUGACAACUUCCAACACUUAUUCACAGUUCUUUUCUUCAUGGGAUCAGAGGAGCAGCCUUUUGAUAGAAGGAAGACAUACCACUGAGACGCUGAAUAUGAACUGACCCUCACGUGGGAACCAUUUUCCUGUAGAAGCAGCAACAAUCAUAAUGCUCGCUUGAACUUGGCGCUUUUCUUCUCUUGAGCAUAAAGUCUGAAGUUACCCGCUGAUGCCUUCGGCACGGCAGUGGGCGGAUGAACAGAGGAGAGGCUGGGGACUGCGAAGUGUGUUAUUGUGGAGAAAUUCUUGGGGCUGUCAGGGCCAUGAAUGGAUCUGGUGAAUAAGCCAACCGGGGCAGUUCAAUAGGCAGGGUGAUAAGGAGGAAGCUGUGACAUUGUUUCUACAGAAGGAAUUGCUGGAGAUCUCUCAGGGGCUGUGUUGUGCUCAAGCCACUUGGCAGAAAGGCUCAUGGGAGGACUACGCCAAACGCUUAGACGUAAACCAAAAACCUACUUCUUAGGGACCCCAGGAAUGUCAAGAAAUCUAACUUCAAAGAGGAUUGGAAGCAUUGAUAAAAAUCAAUAGCUCUUUGACUUCGGGGUGUUGGUUUUCUUAGGUCUGUAAUGCAACCCAGGUCUGUGGCAAUCUCUAUCGUGGCAUAAUGCAGUGUUUUGUGCAAUAAAAUAGCACUCAUGAAAAUU
ensembl:lncRNA novel transcript